GAUGAACGCUGGCGGCGUGCCUAAUACAUGCAAGUCGAGCGAACAGACGAGGAGCUUGCUCCUCUGACGUUAGCGGCGGACGGGUGAGUAACACGUGGAUAACCUACCUAUAAGACUGGGAUAACUUCGGGAAACCGGAGCUAAUACCGGAUAAUAUGUUGAACCGCAUGGUUCAACAGUGAAGGACGGUCUUGCUGUCACUUAUAGAUGGAUCCGCGCUGCAUUAGCUAGUUGGUAAGGUAACGGCUUACCAAGGCAACGAUGCGUAGCCGACCUGAGAGGGUGAUCGGCCACACUGGAACUGAGACACGGUCCAGACUCCUACGGGAGGCAGCAGUAGGGAAUCUUCCGCAAUGGGCGAAAGCCUGACGGAGCAACGCCGCGUGAGUGAAGAAGGUCUUCGGAUCGUAAAACUCUGUUAUUAGGGAAGAACAAAUGUGUAAGUAACUAUGCACGUCUUGACGGUACCUAAUCAGAAAGCCACGGCUAACUACGUG
rnacentral:rRNA from 1 species